rnacentral:rRNA from 1 species
GUAGUGGUGGUGGUGGUGUGCCGUCGCCGAAACUACUUUUGCUGUUGUUGCGUUGCUACUACUAUCUUAAUAUUUUUGUUCUGUGUGCAGUUGUCGUAUGUUUUCGAAAGGGAAUCCGGUUGAUAUUCCGGAACCGAGUAACGGAGACAAAGAGUAGCGCUUUAAUCUCUUUCGGGUUGGCGUUCAACUCAAUCGCGCGGUAACGCAAGCGAACUCGGAAAAUGACCGUCGUGAGUUUCGAAAAGAGUUUUCUUUUCUUUUUAAGGGACGCAUUCCCUGGAACCGGGUUGUCCGGAGAUAGGGAUUCUGGUAUCCAUAAAACGCCGACUCUUUCACGGUGUUCGGAGCGCUCUCGUCGGUACGUGAAAAUCCGAGCGACGCCUGGUAAAUCUCGUACUUGGUCGUACUGAUAUCCGCAGCAGGUCUCCAAGGUGAAUAGCCUCUGGCCGAUAGAAUAAUGUAGGUAAGGGAAGUCGGCAAAACGGAUCCGUAACUUCGGAACAAGGAUUGGCUCUAAGGGCUGGGCCGAUCGGGCUGAGGUUUCAAGCGUGCAGUGUAUGCUUGGCUGAGUUGUGUUGAGGAUUGAUUCGCUUGGUGCCGUUUGUUGAACCAAUCGGCUUGCCAGGUGGUCAUGUCUGAAGCAAAGCUGGCCGACAGACCGGCACGUGCAGAACCUGAGCUGCGCGGCUGUCAGUUCAUUUGUACAGACCGUUUCGGUCGGCAUUCAACAGCCAACUUAGAACUGGCACGGACACAAGGAAUCUGACUGUAUAAUUAAAACAAAGCAUUGCGAUGGCCGAUGAUCGGUGUUGACGCAAUGUGAUUUCUGCCCAGUGCUCUGAAUGUCAAAGUGAAGAAAUUCAAUCAAGCGCGGGUAAACGGCGGGAGUCUCGGCCUAGAAGAAGAUGACCUAGCGCUUGGAAGACCGAAAUACAGAAAACAGAAGAAAGAAGCGCCCCCCCCGAAGACGCCCCUACUUGUUGUCCAGUCCCAUGGUCGUCGCCAGCCCCCCCUUUCGUAUUGUUACUUAUUUAUUGCUGUUGCUGUUGUUAUUGCUAUUACUGUCAUGUAAUGCCCUCGCUGAGCCCGCCCCCACUCUCCCCCUCCGGUACCCGCGACUAGCCAUGCUCUGACUCUUGGCGGGACGCUAGGUAGCGAUGGGAUGCAGGGGAAUCUCAAGUGAAGCUCAUACUUGAAUUAGAUUGACGCAGUAAGCGUUCUUCUUCGGGAGAGCCUUACAAACAGUCCAAAUAGCCAAAUGCCUCGUCAUCUAAUUAGUGACGCGUAUGAAUGGAUCAACAAGAUUCCUUCUGUCCCUAUCUACUAUCUAGCGAAACCACAGCCAAGGGAACGGGCUUGGCAAAAUCAGCGGGGAAAGAAGACCCUGUUGAGCUUGACUCUAGUCUGACUCUGUGAAGAGACAUGAAAGGUGUAGCAUAGGUGGGAGGCUGCAGUAGGGCGCUGUUCGGUGUCUCUGUGGUCGCCAAUGAAAUACCACUACUUUGAUCGUUUCUUUACUUAUUCGGUAAAGCGAAAAAAUUGUGGCCAAUUUGGCGGUCUGUCCGCUGUUGGUCAUUGUUUUAAUGUUGGAUUGAAGCUUUGUUUAUAGCCGUCGCUUUGUGUCGCCGUUUGACGCAUUGGCUGGGUGCGUAUUUGUGCGCGCGCGGUAAUGUUGUCAGCGGAUGAUCGGCGAUUGGUUUGAAGUGAUUCGCUCCGGAAACAGUGUCAGACGGGGAGUUUGACUGGGGCGGUACAUCUGUUAAACGAUAACGCAGGUGUCCUAAGGUAAGCUCAGCGAGGACAGAAACCUCGCCUAGAGUAAACGGGCACAAGCUUACUUGAUUUUGAUUUCCAGUACGAAUAAAAACCGCGAAAGCGUGGCCUAUCGAUCCUUUUGAUUGUGUAGAUUUCACGCAAGAGGUGUCAGAAAAGUUACCACAGGGAUAACUGGCUUGUGGCAGCCAAGCGUCCAUAGCGACGUUGCUUUUUGAUCCUUCGAUGUCGGCUCUUCCUAUCAUUGCGAAGCAGAAUUCGCCAAGCGUUGGAUUGUUCACCCACCAAUAGGGAACGUGAGCUGGGUUUAGACCGUCGUGAGACAGGUUAGUUUUACCCUACUGAUGACAAGUCGUUGCGAUAGUAAUCCUGCUCAGUACGAGAGGAACCGCGGGAUCAGACAUUUGGUUCAUGCGCUCGGCUGAAAGGCCGGUGGCGCGAAGCUAGCAUCUGCAAGAUUAUGACUGAACGCCUCUAAGUCAGAAUCUUUUCUAGUCAUUGGCAACGAUAAGUUGCGUCCGGACUCGAUGCGAGGAAACGAUUAGGCUUUGCUGUGUUUUGCGCAGCGAAGCCGUUAUCAUACCACGGUAGCAGGCAGUUGGGAUGGUUACGAAAAAGCAAUUUUUUGAAGUCAGUUGAAUUCAAUCAAACUGCUAACAAUCCCACUGCGAAUGACUACACUCGAAUCU